rnacentral:rRNA from 1 species
GACGAACGCUGGCGGCGUGCUUAACACAUGCAAGUCGAACGAAGUGGCGAACGGGUGAGUAACGCGUAAUCAACCUGCCCUUCAGAGGGGGACAACAGUUGGAAACGACUGCUAAUACCGCAUACUGAAGGAGGGGUUUGCGUUGGAUUAGCUCGUUGGGGGGGUAACGGCCCACCAAGGCGAGGAUCAGUAGCCUGGCUGGGGGGAUGAACGGCCCAAUUGGGACUUGGGCACGGCCCAGACUCCUACGGGAGGCAGCAGUGGGGAAUCUUCCGAAAUGGACGAAAGUCUGACGGAGCAACGCCGCGGGGGUGAUGACGGCCUUCGGGUUGUAAAGCUCUGUUAAGCGGGACGCGGUACCGGAAUAGAAAGCCACGGCUAACUACGUGCCAGCAGCCGCGGUAAUUC